rnacentral:rRNA from 1 species
GGAAGAGAAAGAAAAUUUAUCGAUUUCCAAAGUAGCGGCGAGCGAAAUGGAAAGAGCCCAAACCGUGAUGCGUGCAUCGCGGGGUUCGGACUGCGUUGUGGCAGACGUAAGAUAGGAGAACGGACUGGGAAGUCCGGCCGGAGAGAGUGAAAGCCUCGUAUCCGAAAUCCCAAGUCGCCUGGCAGGAUCCAGAGUAGGACGAGACACGAGAAACCUUGUCUGAACGAGCGGGGACCACCCCGUAAGGCUAAAUACUUCUUAGUGACCGAUAGCGCAUAGUACUGUGAAGGAAAGGUGAAAAGUACCCCGGGAGGGGAGUGAAAGAGAACCUGAAACCCUGUGUCUACAAGCUGUGGGACCUCUUUAUAUGAGGGACUGCGUACUUUUUGUAGAACGGUCCGGCGAGUUGUGCGUACUGGCGAGGUUAAGGACUUAAGGUCUGGAGCCGAAGUGAAAGCAAGCGUUAAUAGCGCGUCAAGUCAGUGAGUGCAGACCCGAAACCGGGUGACCUAUCCAUGUCCAGGUUGAAGCUUCCGUAAGAGGAAGUGGAGGACCGAACCCACAUCCGUUGAAAAGGGUGGGGAUGAGGUGUGGAUAGCGGAGAAAUUCCAAUCGAACCCGGAGAUAGCUGGUUCUCCUCGAAAUAGCUUUAGGGCUAGCCUCAUGAGAGUCUUAUGGAGGUAGAGCACUGAAUUGCCUAGGGGGCGUCAAAGCUUACCAAAGCAUAUCAAACUCCGAAUGCCAUCAAGAUGAUUCAUGGGAGUCAGACCAUACGAGA